rnacentral:rRNA from 1 species
UACAGAGACUGCAAGCGUUAUUCGGAUUCACUGGGCGUAAAGGGUGCGCAGGCGGCCAAGUGUGUCAGGUGUGAAAUCCCGAGGCUUAACCUCGGAACUGCGCCGGAAACUACUUGGCUAGAGUACUGGAGAGGGUAACGGAAUUCACGGUGUAGCAGUGAAAUGCGUAGAUAUCGUGAGGAACACCAGAGGCGAAGGCGGUUACCUGGACAGUUACUGACGCUCAGGCACGAAAGCGUGGGGAGCAAAAGGG